UGGUUGAGGAAUCUAGCUUGCUGGGAUGGUAUUAGCAUUUACGCAGGCCUUACACAGGCUAGCCUACUACAGGGGCCUCCAGAGUACCAAGGCAGGGAAUGAAUUCCCAUUCCAGAUUUAAUUUGACCUUACUGCUGGCUAGUAUACCCCUUCUGCUAAAUACCUUGGGGCUGGAUGGCACUUGGUGGUAGAUGCUGGAACUCUGGACGCUCCAUUCUCUCUGUGCUGAUCUUCCGCAGCAAACUCUUCAGUCCCAGGAUCACUUAAAUAACAAAAAGUUCUAUGGACCACCCCCUUCCACUAGUGCUGAUAACUCUAAAUCUUACAUCAUUUCUCUCUAUUGUAAAACUACCAUUGUGACUAUAUUAAUACAUUUUCUUAUAAUUUUUAUUGUUAGUUAAAGCUUAGAAUAGAAAAUAGGCUUAGAAAGCAUUUGUAUGUACCACUUUGACUGAGCCAAUGGUACCUUACCCUGAGAAGUGCUUUGUUUCAUUUCCCAGCCUUGGGUUUAGCCCCACGGGUGGGCUCUGGAGAACAGAAAGCCCCUGAGUUUCUACUUCCUCUCUCCCAAUUUUGAUUUACUCACUGCUGACUCUUACAGGAAGCCCUAGGUGGUAAAGAGAUCAAAUCAGAAUUCCUAGCCAGGAAAACCCUGUCUCUUAGUUACAAUGACCCUUCUCUGUACUGCAUUCAGCUCUGUGGCUGUUAACACCAGAAAACCUUCAUCUGGCUUCACACCCUCCUUCUUAGUUUCCUUCAGUCAAGUCUUAUGUAAUCUGCCACUGAUGGCAGACUUCCUUCUUACCCUCCUUAUGUAGUCCCCCCGAGGCUUCAAGCCACAAAGCUUCCUAGAUGCGUCCCACCAAAGGGGUGCUUUCUGAAACCAAACCUUUUCUGUCUUUCUCAGCCCUCAUAUCCUCACAUCAAUCCCCUACUGGACACAUUUCCCCUGAGAGUAUCAGGGGACACUCCUAGAGAGCCACUAGGUACUGCUGCAAAUCCCAUUCCUCACCCAUCUCCCCGCUGGAGCUCCUGGAAUCAGAUUUUGCAGUUUCCUGUCAUUCUAGCCUCCUUUUCUGUUCAUUUGGAAGAUUUUCUCCAUUGCUUUUGAUAAAUUCCUGGUUUGGUAGAAAUAUCCAGUUUUUAGGAAGAUCUUGUGGGAUGGGUUCCCUGUCUCCGGCAGCUUGGUUGCCCCUCAGAAAGAUCUGCUCCUGCAUUCUGCCUGCAAUGCUGCCAUUGCCCUCUGCCUGGCCUAGGCUGUGUGGGAUCAGUAUGUGGAGUCCUCUGCAUAGACAUUCCAUCCCUCUUUAUCCAUCUUGGCAAACAAAGCAUCGCUGUGCCCCUAACUUCCUCCUCUUCCUUCUCCUCCAUCAUUUAUUUCUUCUUUGCUUUCCCUCACUUCUCCCUUUCUCUCAUGGAUACCCUUCCUUUAAAUCUCCUUCUUGUCCGUUUGCUCCCUGUUGCCCAUCCAUGCCCACUCCCCCCAUCUUUCAUUUUGAAUAGCUAUCUUCCUCAUCGCCUGCUCUUGCUGAGCAAACAGCAUGCUGUGGGAAGAAUGGCAGCAGAGUAGGUCCCUGGUUGCCAAAGUAAGCUAUCCCUUUUCUCCAGAAGAUCAGUGCUAUGUUUUCCCAUCUUGUCCUCAGUGAUCCUUAAGAGCCAGGGAACCCCAAGAUGCUGACUCUCUUGGGAUGAACAAGCUCUCUUGGCUUCUUCCAGUGUUGAAGAGGAGAGGAAUUAUUCGGUUCAGAUGUCCCAUUCUUUGGCUCCUGAGUGUGGCUCUGGAGUGCCUCUGCUACUGACAACUGCUCAGUAUCUGGGUGUUGGAGAGAUAAAACAGGCUCUAGAAGAGAAAGUGAACCAGGAUGGAAUCUACAACCCUGGCAAACUGAGUAUUGGCUUCUCUCACUGACCACUGAGGGGAUAAUUUAUCAAAGAUGUCACCCAGUGAUAAAAGCAGCCCUAAAAUGCUUUCUUUAAAAAAUGUGUCCUCUGAGAACAUUUAGAUUUUGCCUCUAGACUCUGGUUAGGUGAGUGACUUCACUUUGUGCCCCUUUAUCCUAUGGUUCCUCAGCUAGAGGAGUAGUCAGCAGGUGGGACAGUGAGUCAUACUCUAAAAUGGCUCUGUCAUUCCUGUGCCAUAGGGCUGUCAGGAGUCUGGGACUUCUACAGGAGGCUUUAGAGAGGGAGGGAGGAGAUGGGGUCAGCUGGGACAUUGAUAGGCUUUCAGAGUUUGGAGGGACCUUAUCACCUGGAAAUAUGAAUGUAGAUCUCUUUGGCAAAUCAAAAUUGUAUUUUAAAGCUAUUCUGUCUUUGAAAUGG